AAAAGGGCGGGAAAGUGAGCAAAGUUUUGGCAGCGUCUGACGCUGAGGUAAAUGGGAGGCUAUGAGUCCGGAAAGUCAUUUUACUGAGGCCCAGGGCCCGCCAGGCAGAGUUGGGAAGGUGCCACAGCAGCUACAGACACAGUCACAGUCAGUAGUCCACUCCUGUCCUCCUCUCCUGACAGUCCGAAGCUGGGGCCUAGCCCUAGGCAGUGGGCACACAGACAGAGACAGGCUCAGCCGCUCACACUAGAAGUCACUAGACUAACAGAAGACUAGCAGAGUGAUGCAGGAGCAGAACAUGAAGGCAGCAAACGUUCGGGCGGGCGGGCAGGCAUGCAGCUUUACGUGGUGACGACCGUGACGUCAACUCGUCUCUGCGGCUACCACACUCCCACCCUGCGCGCUCUGCUUCCGCGAGUCCGCUGGGUCCGACCGCCGCGCCCACCCCCAUCUGUCAUGUGACUCUCAUCUGAGACUGUGUAUGUAUCUGUGUGUUGUGUUGUAGUGUGUGUACUUUAACUUUAAUCACUGAGUCAGUAGUGUGGCCGGCUGGGCGCAGGCAGCAAAUCAGGGGGGGCAAGGAAUGACCUGGGGGGGGGGGGCAAUUGCCCCCCUGUAGCGACGCCACUGUGUGUGAGAAAUUUUAUAUCUCUAUAUAUAUACUGUGAACAUUCUGUAGUACACUUUUUUGUCCACUAGAUGGCCGCAAACCAGAUGUAUGAGCCAUGUGAGCAUUCCUUUGUCUGAUGGUCAAUAGGGGAAGGGGGGGAUUAGGUUGCAGUUUUCAAAUCUACCUAUGAACUGAGAGUUGAAGUUGCUGAAACCACUCCUAUCAAGGAGCCAAUAGUCUAUUCUUAAAGGGGUUAUCUCAUCUUAGACAAUGGGGGCAUAUCGCUAGCAUAACCCCUUUAAGGAACAACCCUUUUUGUGAUGUCAUCUCUGCUGUUUAAGUUAAUGUAACUUGAAUAAAGCUCUCUCUUGUUCUGGCUCAGGGGGAUGAUAAGAUGCUUCAAUGAAACCAACUGGUGUGUCUGGUCUCAUUAUGAAAGCAGUAUGAUACGUACAUACUUAUACUUUUAACUGAUUUGGCACCACAUAAAGAGGAUGAGAAUCGCAAGAAUUGCGAUGACAGUCUGUUGCUCGGUGGUCCAAAGUCCUCUUUUCUGAUGAGACCAUCUUUUGCAUCUCAUUUGGAAACCAAGAACCCAGAGUCUGGAGGAAGAAUGGAGAGGCACACAAUGCAAGGUGCUUGAGGUCCAGUGUGAAGUUUCCACAGUCGGUGUCUACCAGGAGAUUCUGGAGCACUUCAUGCUUCCUACCGCAGACGAGCUUCAUGGAGAUGGUGAUCUCAUUUUCCAGUAGGACUUGGCACCUGCCCACACUGCCAAAAGUACCAAAACCUUGUUCAAUGACUAUGGGACUACUGUGCUUGAUGGAGCAGCAAACUCACCUGGCCUGAACCCCAUAGAGAAUCUACAGGGCAUUGC